CACAUAUUACAGCGCAAUGGUAGCGCGCGUCCCUCCUAUUACCCUCAGUGGCAUAGCGAGGACGAGGCUGCGCGUUCGAGUCGCGUGAGGGUCG